GGAGUAAAUUGCAGCAAUCGAUAGGCUAGAAAAUGAGAUAGCAGCUACAAGCAAAAAUAUGACUCUCAAUGGUUACUGUCAGCUGUCAAACCAGGAGCCUCUGGAACAAAGACUCCGCAGGUAUAUCCUGGACAAUUGGUUUGAAUUAAAAGCCAUUUUAUUUCGGACGAACCAUCUGCUACGACUGUAGCAGACAUACAGUUUCUUAGUUAAGUAUCCUAUCAUAAUCCGGUGCAUAGACUAACCAUUAAUUAUUGUCAGGAAAUGAAUUGGG